UUUACCUGGUUCGCAGACUCAUCCCCAAUCGGGUGAGACGGCUAGCGUUUUCUCACCCUCCCUCUUCUCUCUCUCCCUCGCAUCUCUCGCGCAGCCGUCGCUCUCGCUCCCCUCCUUCUCUCCGGCCCGAGCCGCCGCUGCUCCUCUGCGCCUCCCUGCUACUCCUGGCCAUCCCUUGUGCUAGCCCCUCACGACCAUGAAGGGCGGCGGAGCCAUUAGUAGCGGCGGCGGUCGGGCUCUUGGGGGUGAGGCUACGCCUUGGGCGAUGCCGACGAGCUCCAAUGGCUUGAGGCCACCAACGCUCUUUGGUGGAUCGAUCCAGCGCCAGGAACCGCCCAGGCCUCGCUGCAUCUCUGGCGGCUCAUCUUCGUCUCCUCCCUCGCUCCAACGCGCGGUUCCGCUUCCCGCUGGCCACGGGGUGCAGCCUUGCAGGGCGCAUCGGGCUGGGCCUCCUCUGUUUGCGAUUUGGUGCAGCAGCCGCUGUGGGGUUGCAGUUCUUUGGACACGUUCGUGCACCUCUGGAAAGAAGACGACCCAAGGUGAGCCGUGGGAAGGCAGCGGGUGCUGGAUUGGCAGUCUUCCAGAGUUGCUAGGAAGAAGAAGAUGGGCACCUCCUUCACCCAGCCGCUCCAUUGGGAUCCUGCUGCAGUCCUCGCCGCCACCUUCUCCUUCGCCCAGCUGGCCGCGCCCCCUUUCUUUGCAGCUUGACAUAAAGAUUAGCAUGUGUGUGUGUCCUGCGGUUUGAGAGGGACAAAAUAGGAGGUCACCAUGAAAUGUCGAAAGAGAAAGGGAGGCCGUAAGAGUGGAUCGUUCAUUUGUCAUUGGUUUCUCAUCACUUAUCCAAUACUUUCUUUGUUGCUAUCUUCUGAUGAUAUACUGACUUGCUAUAUGUAUAUUCUCAAUAUGUAAAUACGUAAGGGAGUGGAUACCAGUAUAUUACUCUUUCCGUCCAUAUAAUCAGAUUGCUGUUUGUCAAUUUUAUAAAAUUCUUUGGAUUUGCUCAAUAUGUGGCAUGUACCUAGGACCAUUCACUCCAAUGUGGUAUGAGAACAUUUAUUUUCUAAUUGUUCUUGGUUUGAUGUCAAGGCGUACUCAUUCUUGUAAUCUAUGUGGCUUUUUCAGAAACAGUAUGUUCCAAGAAGUUUAUUCAAGAGAGCUGGGCAUAUAGUUGUGUCAUGACUGCCAAUGCCCUACAGGAUGGCUUGGUUGAUGCAAUCCGUGUAUCCCUCAUAGAUCCACUUGGAACUCAUGCUGCAGGCCAUCAAUUAGGUGUGGAUAACCAUACUCAAGUCUGGUAGUGCGAUGGCUCCUGUGGAACUAAUCUCUGCACAAUUUGUUUCAAUGAGCACCCAGACCGCCCUGAUUGACCAGGCUCAAGGCAUGCCGUCGGCUCCUGUGCCCUCCUACUCCGACACCGCAGUGGGCGCGUCAAUGGCUGGAGCAGAGGAGGAGAUCCAGGCGGAGCGCGCCAUCUCCAUCGUCGUAUCUGUUGCUGCGUCCCUCGAUCUAUAUGUGUUCUUUUCCUGACCAUCCCAGUUGUGGUUGCCUGGAGCUCAUCCUUGAUUUGCUCUUUUUCCCUUGCAGGUUGGUCAGCUGCGGGUGCUGGUGCUUCUGGUCGAUUUGUCCUGCUGCGUCGGCCAUUGUUCUGUAGCUUGCAUCUGCAGUACAUUAUCAAAGAAACUGAAUCUGGAAGGUUAAGACAUUAGACAUCUAUUGAGAGUUAAUGAAAUUUAACACCUGAAGACUGCUGCCCAUACAACGAUGAAGAUGCCAUCUCCAACUAGAACAGUAUCAGCCUACUUGGACAUCGACUGGUCGCCAGUUGAACCAGCAACCAGCAGCCGACAUCAGCGAUUCAGCCGACAUCAAAUAUAUACCAAAUCAAAUCAAACACUACAAAGAUAUAUUUGAUUUGUAUGCCCUAUAUUAAACUCAGCUGUCCUGGGCAGCAUCUAUCUCUUGCUCUUGAUAUAUCUUUGUAGUGUUUGUGAUAUAUAUUGAACACAUUUAUUUCGAGCGGUUA